CCCUCCUUCCUGAAAUGUCCAUUCGUAGAUGCAAACGACGGUAAAUACAAUCGAUUGAUUUUAAAUUUAAUAUUCAGGGCAUUUUUAGGGGCAAUCAGCCAGGACAGAAUGGCUCAUCUCUGCAAGUUUAAAAAUAAAAUUUUCAAUUUAGGCUAUUCAGGAAAAGUUAUUUUUAGGCAUACGAUUCUGUCUACACGCAGUGUAGUGACUGAAAGUACACAAGGCUGUACUCGAGUGCAUCUCAGUGAAGACAGUGAGUGCAAUGACAGUGAUGAAUUGAGGACAGUUGGGAAACUUAUCUCUGGUAAUUUGCUGGUUUAUGAUGACUUCAUUAGUGAAGUGGAAGAAAUGAUGUUAUAUGAAGAAGUUAGACCAUCUUUAGAAAAGACAAGUUACCAACACGAACACUGGGAUGAUGUAAGUACAUUUAUACCGUAGAAGAACCCUAUCUAUUAUUUAUAAUAGACACUUGCCUUGUUAAUACAUUUGCUGGCAGGCAAACUCCAAUUAGCAGAUUGCAUCUAUUUUUCGGGGAGGGUGUGUGUGUGUGUUCACAACGGUUGAGGACAUCUUUUACCAGCUAAAUUGUGACCCCAUGGGAUUCAGUUUAUAUACCCCUCCCCUUCCCUGGAAAAUGGCUUUAAUUGCAGACCACCACCCCUCACCCUGGAUUUUGGUCCCUAAUUACCCCACCCCCUGGAGUUCUG